AAAAUAAAUAUACAGGGAUCUCAUUAGCAGAACAGAAUGAAAGUAAACUGAGCCUGAAUAAUUCUUGACUAAGCAGAACCAGUGCCUAACCUGGAAGCCUAAGUGAGGGAAAGGGGCUCAUUUCUCCCAAGUGCUUCUGUUAGAGGAAAGCGAAACUGAACCGGCUCAUCAUACCCUCCUGUAAAUUUAGAACUCAGUCUGCUUUUGGAGACAGGAAUGUGGUUUCCAGGGUCCACCAAUCUCAGCUUCUCCGUCCUGCUUUCACUUUUGCCCCAUAAAUACCAGCCCUGGACAACUUUCCUGUGCAGCUGGUUUCCAUCAUUCAUACCUUGCUUUGCACUCACAGCCCUCUGCAAUUCCUGGGUGCUGAUAUACACCACAGGCUGAUCGCUUCAGUAACAAAGCCAGGACUAGGCCAGGCGACCCUGCACAGCUGCUGCGGACUCAGGAUGAAUGAGGCCCUUGUAGUGCAAAUUCUCGCAAUUUUGGUAGGAGGCUUAGCAGCUUUAGUAGCUCCUUUCUGUCAAUGGGAACUUUUUGCUUCAACAGACAGAGCUGAUGCUGACCCCCAACAUGACCGUCCUAGAUAGCAGAGGCCUCCUGGCCACAGGCGAGGCGCCAACAGACCUCACAAGGCCCAUAAGCCAAGCUACGAAUUCUAGGAGCGGCUUUCACAGGAGCUCCAGGGAGUCCUCCCACCCAGGCUCCAAAGAGCUCUCCCCUGCUGGCGGACCCGGCCUCAGCUCAACCUGGGCAGCCCUGCUGCUCCUGUGCAGGAGAGAAGAUGGGGACAGAGCUAGACUCACAGCGAGGUCCCCUGGCCCUGUGCUGUGUGUGGUUUCCACUCUUGGCAUUAUGUGCUUCCCUGCCCUUCAGCCCUGGAGACACAAAAAAAUUUAUUCAAAUUUAUGACGUGUGCGCCCUUGGUCUCACAAAGGAUGUCUUGAAGAAAUAUGCCGAGAAAUAUCUGGGGCUGCUGGGUCCAGGAGGAGCAGGUCUGGAAGAGUGAGGCGGGACAGGUGGUAUAGUCCCCCCCACCCCCACCCCUGGGCCAGGCCAGGCCAGGGUUCUCAGAUCCUGGAGUUUCUGGGGUCAGCACGCGCGUGGCAAAGGAAGUCAGGGCAGCCAGGUGGCAAGGUCUGGGACUCGAACUCAGCCUCGGCCCAAAUGCAGUGGACCACGGAGUGGGAGGCGAGGGUUGCGGCUCAAGCCUGGGUUCACAGACAGCUGGCCUGGCACAUGGGGUGUUCCGGGGGGAGGGUCCCCACCUCUGCAUCAGGCCUGGAGGCUGCUUUGCUAAGAACCUGAACUCAGAGCUGAUGUGCAAAUUCUGGUCACACCGCCUGAAUGCCACCCACAUCUGCACACACAGAAGUCUGUCACCUUCCUGCAAUCCCAAGGAGUGGCCUGAAUGAAUUUAGGUGAUGCCCCCACUUUCCCAGCUCGGCACACCUUGACUUUGGCCUUGCCUGUGAGAGAAACCGCUAAGCAAGUGCAGCCUCCUGACAAGGAGCCCUGGGAGAAAGCAGUUUGCCAGGAAGCCAUGAAAGCUGCGCUGGGAACUUGAAAAUUAUUAAAAGACCUGAAGCAUUCAGACCACAAUUUCAUGGACACCCACGUGUUUCAGGCUGAUAAUUCUGCAGUGACUUCAACAGAAAUGCGAAAUGAACACAGAACUGUGAAGAAGAAUUGCUUAAACGUAACAGAAAUUCCAUUCCAGUUUUCUUUAAGAUAACUGAGGAUGGUAUGAAGAGAAGAGUGGUUUUGCCUGUUUGGGCACACACAGAAAGAAGUCAAAUGUGUGGAAUACAGUGUCUGGUAAAAUAGGGCAUGCCAACCAAUACCAGCCCAUAAAGCAGCCUUUUUUGUUAAAAGACACAAUCAGAUGGUCCCAAGGUAUACGUCAUUUACAUUUAACAACUACUGAUAAGACCUUGUCAGAAGAGAAAGCGAAAGAAAAAGACUUGAAGAUUUGCAAAAUUGUUUACACAGCAAGACCAGAUUCAUUUAAAUGUAUUUCCUGCUCACUCUGUUUUAUCGCUGGAAAGUUUAAGAUUUUUUUUUUUCCAUUUUCCAAUUCA